GAUGAACGCUGGCGGCGUGCCUAAUACAUGCAAGUCGAGCGAAAAGACGAGGAGCUUGCUCCCCUUACGUUAUUGACGGGCGAGCGGGUAACUAAUGGAUAACCUACCUAUCUGAAUGAGGGAACUACGAGAAGGCAAAGACUGCACCGACUAAUUUAGUUAACAGCAUGGCUUAAUAGAUAGAAAAGAAUUUGGUGUCUCCUUUUGAGGGAUCCGCGCAGCAUGAGCUAGUGGGUAAGGUACUGGCUUACCAAGGCGACGAUGCGUAGCCGACCGGAGAGGGGGAUCGGCCACACUGGAACUGAGACACGGUCCAGACUCCUACGGGAGGCAGCAGUAGGGAAUCUUCCGAAAUGGGCGAAAGCCUGACGGAGCAAGGCCGGGUGAGUGAUGAAGGUGUUCGGAUCGAAAAACUCUGUUACUAGGGAAGAACAAAUGUGUAAGUAACUAUGCACGUAUUGACGGUACCGAAUCAGAAAGCCACGGCUAACUACGUG
rnacentral:rRNA from 1 species